rnacentral:rRNA from 1 species
AGAGUUUGAUCCUGGCUCAGGAUGAACGCUAGCGGCAGGCUUUACACAUGCAAGUCGAGGGGCAGCAUGUCCAGCAAUGGAUGAUGGCGACCGGCGGAAGGGUGCGUAACGCGUGAGCAACAUGCCCUAUACAGGGAGAUACACCAGGGAAACUUGGUCUAAUAUCCCAUAGCAUUCAUUGAAGGCAUCUUUAAUGAAUUAAAGCUUCGGUGGUAUAGGAUUGGCUCGCGUGACAUUAGCCAGAUGGUGAGGUAACGGCUCACCAUAGCAAUGAUGUCUAGGGGUUUUGAGAGGAAGGCCCCCCACACUGGGACUGAGACACGGCCCAGACUCCUACGGGAGGCAGCAGUGAGGAAUAUUGGACAAUGGAUGGAAAUCUGAUCCAGCCAUGCCGCGUGCAGGAAGACGGCCUUAUGGGUUGUAAACUGCUUUUAUACGGGAGCAAUAAGGGUUACGAGUAAUCCGAUGAGAGUACUGUAUGAAUAAGGAUCGGCUAACUCCGUGCCAGCAGCCGCGGUAAUACGGAGGAUCCGAGCGUUAUCCGGAAUUAUUGGGUUUAAAGGGUGCGUAGGCGGCCAUUUAAGUCAGCGGUGAAAUUUUGCAGCUUAACUGUAACAGUGCCGUUGAUACUGUUUGGCUAGGAUUUGGUUGUAGUGUGCGGAAUGUGUGGUGUAGCGGUGAAAUGCUUAGAUAUCACACGGAACACCGAUUGCGAAGGCAGCACACUAAGUCAUUAUUGACGCUGAGGCACGAAAGUGUGGGGAUCAAACAGGAUUAGAUACCCUGGUAGUCCACACUGUAAACGAUGAUAACUCGCUGUCGGCGAUACACUGCAAGGGAGGGAGCGAAAGCAUUAAGUUAUCCACCUGGGGAGUACGACCGCAAGGUUGAAACUCAAAGGAAUAGGCGGGGGCCCGCACAAGCGGAGGAACAUGUGGUUUAAUUCGAUGAUACGCGAGGAACCUUACCUGGGCUUAAAUGCAGGAUGCAUGCUGUGGAAACACACUUCCCUUCGGGGCUUCCUGCAAGGUGCUGCAUGGUUGUCGUCAGCUCGUGCCGUGAGGUGUCGGGUUAAGUCCCAUAACGAGCGCAACCCUUACCGUUAGUUGCCAUCGGGUCAAGCUGGGGACUCUAUCGAGACUGCCGGUGUAAACCGUGAGGAAGGUGGGGAUGACGUCAAAUCAGCACGGCCCUUACGUCCAGGGCUACACACGUGUUACAAUGGUCGGUACAAUGGGCAGCUACUCAGCGAUGAGAUGCUAAUCUUCAAAACCGAUCUCAGUUCGGAUCGGAGUCUGCAACUCGACUCCGUGAAGCUGGAUUCGCUAGUAAUCGCAUAUCAGCCAUGAUGCGGUGAAUACGUUCCCGGGCCUUGCACACACCGCCCGUCA